UACGUAGGGUGCGAGCGUUAAUCGGAAUUACUGGGCGUAAAGAGUGCGUAGGCGGUUUGUGAAGUCAGAUGUGAAAGCCCCGGGCUUAACCUGGGAAGUGCGUCUGAAACUGGCAGGCUAGAGUUUGGUAGAGGGGGGUAGAAUUCCUGGUGUAGCAGUGAAAUGCGUAGAGAUCAGGAGGAACACCGAUGGCGAAGGCAGCCCCCUGGGCUAAAACUGACGCUCAGGCACGAAAGCAUGGGGAGCAAACAGG
rnacentral:rRNA from 1 species